rnacentral:rRNA from 1 species
GACGAACGCUGGCGGCGUGCCUAAUACAUGCAAGUUGAGCGCUGAAGGUUGGUACUUGUACCAACUGGAUGAGCAGCGCACGGGUGUGUAACGCGUGGGGAAUCUGCCUUUGAGCGGGGGACAACAUUUGGAAACGAAUGCUAAUACCGCAUAAAAACUUUAAACACAAGGUUUAAGUUUGAAAGAUGCAAUUGCAUCACUCAAAGAUGAUCCCUCGUUGUAUUAGCUAGUUGGUGAGGUAAAAGCUCACCAAGGCGAGGCAACAUAGCCGAACUGAGAGGGUGAUCGGCCACAUUGGGACUGAGACACGGCCCAAACUGCUACGGGAGGCAGCAGUAGGGCAUCUUCGGCAAGGGACGAAAGUCUGACCGAGCAACGCCGCGGGAGUGAAGAAGGGUGUCGGAUCGUAAAACUCGGUUGGUAGAGAAGAACGUGGGUGAGAGUGGAAAGCUCAUCAAGUGACGGUAACUACUCAGAAAGGGACGGCUAACUACGUG